rnacentral:rRNA from 1 species
GACGAACGCUGGCGGCGUGCCUAAUACAUGCAAGUCGAGCGAAGUUUUUCUGGUGCUGGCACUAGCACAACUGAGCAGCGAACGGGUAAGUAACACGUAAAGAACCUUCCACAUAGAGUGAAACACCGAUUGGAAACGAUAGCUACGAACGGAUGACAGUAUUGCUUGCUGGAGGGAGAUAUAAAAGUUCGUUAGGCUAACACUAUGAGAUGGCUUUGCGGUGCAUUAGCUAGUUGGUGGGGUAAGGCCUCACCGAGGCGACGAUGCAAAGCCGAACUGAGAGGGUGAUCGGCCACACUGGGACUGAGACACGGCCCAUACUCCUGCGGUAGGCACCAGUAUGCAAUCUGCCGCAGCGGUCGAAAGUCUUACAGAGUAACGCGGAGUGUGUGAAGAAGGAUUCCGGUGCGGAAUGACGUGUUUUGAGUUAAGAAUGGAUUUGGCGUAACUAGAAGUGUAAGAGACGGUACUUGGUCAGAAAGCCACGGCUAACUACGUG